UACCAAAAAGUUAAGUUAUAUUAAAUGGUAAAAAGAUAGUUAAAUAAAUUAUUAAGUUUUUUAUUAUUUAUAUAGAAGUAAAAUUUGAGUAUAAAUAUUAUUAUCUAAUAAACUGAAUAAAUUGAAUCUAUGACAUCUUUGAAAGAAACUGGGAUUGGAUACCCCAUUAUUCUUAGUUAUAAAUUUAAUGAAUAUUUACCUGAGUACUACGAAUAAUAAAAUUUAAAACUCAAAGAGCUUGGCGGUACUUUAGACCACUUAGGGGAACCUGUCUCGUAAUCGACAAUCCACGUUAAACCUAACCUUUUUUUGCUUUCAGCCUGUAUACCAUUGUCGUCAGGUAACUUUUAAAAAAAUUAAAGCUAGCUAGAUAAUUUUUAAAUUAAAACGUCAAAUCAAGGUGCAGCUUAUAAAAAGGUGUAGAUGGGUUACAAUUAUUUAAUUAUAAUCACGGAAAAAUUAAAGGAAAUUUUAAAUAGAAGGAGGACUUAAAAGUAAAAUAAUAUAUAAAAAUUUUUUGAAUAAGGCUCUGAAGUGCGC
rnacentral:rRNA from 1 species